rnacentral:rRNA from 1 species
GGGCCCGCACAAGCAGUGGAUUAUGUGGUUUAAUUCGAAGCAACGCGAAGAACCUUACCAGGUCUUGACAUCCUCGGAAUCCCCAAGAGAUUGGGGAGUGCCCUUCGGGGAGCCGGGAGACAGGUGGUGCAUGGUUGUCGUCAGCUCGUGUCGUGAGAUGUUGGGUUAAGUCCCGCAACGAGCGCAACCCUUGCCAUUAGUUGCUACGCAAGAGCACUCUAAUGGGGACCGCUACGGACAACGUGGAGGAAGGUGGGGACGACGUCAAAUCAUCAUGCCCCUUAUGACCUGGGCCACACACGUAAUACAAUGGCCGGCAACAACGGGAAGCAACCCCGCGAGGGUGAGCAAAACCCCAAAACCGGUCUCAGUUCGGAUCGCAGGCUGCAACCCGCCUGCGUGAAGUUGGAAUUGCUAGUAAUCGCGGGAUCAGCAUGCCG